rnacentral:lncRNA from 1 species
UCAGUAAGAAGUGGUCCCCAUCCUAGGAACAGAGAGGUGUUUGGCCAAGUACCCAUCCUGGGGCUCUCCCCUACUGGGAAAAUAGCUUACCCUGACCUCCCAGGCUUUAUGGGGUACUAACAGAUACUCAUAGGCUUCCUGGACAAAAGAGCUUCUUGGGUUCGAAGGUUAUUAGUUUUCUCAGGAGGCAAGUACACUGUGUUUACGCUUGGGGUUCAGCUUGGGCACAGGUCAGGGCAGAUCUCACAACUCCCUUAGGAACCCACUUCAAUCUCUGUUGGCGCUGCCUAGGUCCUCAGAGUCUGUCUGAAAUGUCCUUAAUUUUAGAAAUCAGAUAACUGGGGCCCUGACGGAGUCCAGUUCCUCUGAGGCUACUCAGAGCCAAAGCCUGACUCUACUAAGCCCUUUCCUCCAAAAUGGUGCUUUAACCCAAGGGAAGAGGAAAAUAACUCAGCUGGCUUAGUUAUUUCAUUCGGAUGAUCCAGAAUUCAUCUUCACUCCAAAUAAACCUCAAAAAAAUGAUCACUGCCAGACGCAUGGAUCCCAGCACUCGGAAGCAGAGGCAGGUGGAUCUCUGUGAAAUUAAGGCCUGCCUGGUCCACAAAUCAAAUGCAGGGGAGCCAGGUUCUGUCGCACAGAGAAACCCUGUCUUGACAAACAAAACCAACAACAAAAAAACCCCAGGGAGUGUUAUGUGGUGAGUCUACCCAUCCCAAUUAAUCAAAUCAGACAUCAGGCAGCCAAGCACUCUCAAUGGGCUAGGGGCUAAGAGGUUGUGGGCAGGUACUAGCCAGCCUUUAGAUACCCGUAUUUCCUACAGUUCCAUCUCUAGGGUGCCAGGGUACCUCCCAGGGCAGAGAGUGGGUUCCCCAUGUGAAUGUCCCCCUGACAUAGCCUCUCUCCUUAUUCCCUCCGGCAGAACCAGACUUGGGAUCCGGGGCAGGCCCUGAUGGCACAGGUACCCCCAGCCUCCUUCGAGGCAAGAGGGGAGGACACCCAACCAACUACCAGAUCAUCACCCCCAGGAGACGCAACGAGAGGAGCUGAGAGGGUGGUGGUGGUGGCUCUUCGGGGUUCAACACCAGGCUUCCUCCCCCAGCCUGGACUUGACCAGCUGCCGCCAGGGACUGCCAGUUCCUAUUUAUCACUAUCCUCAGGGACCCCUGUGCCAUGUUGGUCUUAGGGGUAGGCAGAUCUCAGUGAUGGCAGCCUGUACAUGACAGACUAAACAGGGACUGGGCCUCAAAGUCAGGCCUCAUUUGCACCUGGCUUCGUUCCCUCUGUGAAAUGGGGUGAAGAGGCUCUGAAGGGGGUAGAUGGAGGUACGAGGCUUCCAGUCCUCUCAGCUGCCUACAGUUGGGACCAAGGACUGCCUGGCCCUGCAGACAUGCAAGGAUUGGGGCAGAAGCCUCAGGUCCCCUCCUGUAGAACCUUGGGAGUCCAGUGUGCCCCUCGUUUUCUGGUGCUGAGUUUCCGCCUGAGUCAGGCUGCUUAAUUGCUAACGGAAUGGUUGGUGCUUCUUACAUCAGUUCUACCCCAGGCCCCCGCUGCUCCCAUGUCCCAUGAGGGAAUGGGAUGUGUAGAAGGGACUCCUCUUCCAAGUGUCUGCUGCGGAUGCCAUGGAUUGCUAUGUAUGGGACAAUAAACAUCCUUGCUUGACUCCA